GGCCCAGUGGUCUAGUAGUAUGAUUCGCGCUUCGGGUGCUUUUCGUCCGUCCGUAUGGAUUCAGUGCGCGAGGCCCCGGGUUCAAUUCCCGGCUGGGCCC